GCUCAGGUGCGAAAGCGUGGGGAGCAAACAGGAUUAGAUACCCUGGUAGUCCACGCCGUAAACGAUGUCUACUUGGAGGUUGUGCCCUUGAGGCGUGGCUUCCGGAGCUAACGCGUUAAGUAGACCGCCUGGGGAGUACGGCCGCAAGGUUAAAACUCAAAUGAAUUGACGGGGGCCCGCACAAGCGGUGGAGCAUGUGGUUUAAUUCGAUGCAACGCGAAGAACCUUACCUGGUCUUGACAUCCACAGAACUUUCCAGAGAUGGAUUGGUGCCUUCGGGAACUGUGAGACAGGUGCUGCAUGGCUGUCGUCAGCUCGUGUUGUGAAAUGUUGGGUUAAGUCCCGCAACGAGCGCAACCCUUAUCCUUUGUUGCCAGCGAUUAGG
rnacentral:rRNA from 1 species